rnacentral:rRNA from 1 species
UACGUAGGGUGCAAGCGUUGUCCGGAAUUAUUGGGCGUAAAGAGCUCGUAGGCGGUUUGUCGCGUCUGCUGUGAAAACCUGAGGCUCAACCUCGGGCUUGCAGUGGGUACGGGCAGACUAGAGUGCGGUAGGGGUGACUGGAAUUCCUGGUGUAGCGGUGGAAUGCGCAGAUAUCAGGAGGAACACCGAUGGCGAAGGCAGGUCACUGGGCCGCAACUGACGCUGAGGAGCGACAGCGUGGGGAGCAAACAGG